CAUAGGAGCCAUUCCUUGCUGCGGAAUGUCCGGUUUGAACCAUAGCUACUGCCUAAAGGGCGAGCCCAUCACCACAACACCCCCAAAAUAUCCAACUGGUCUAAAGUCCUUUUCAUGGCCUAAAAAAAGGUCAGGCUUUACUACCACAAAUAGUUUCAUCUUAUGUCUUGAUUCGAAAUCCGGACUUUGAAAUCAUGAAAUAUUAGCUCGUACCAACUAGGUACCACCUUAGUGGUAAGUUCAUGAUAUGCUUGGUCAUAAAAGAUUUCAACUCACUGGAAUGAUAUUAGAAUAUGAUUUAAAUGAUUAUUAUUAUUAUUAUUUUUUAUUUCUUUAUCGAUUAAAAAAUAAAUAAUGAAUUUAAACCCGGACUCUACACUACCUUCAAUAAUGCUCUACUCUAUGCAUCGCGUCGACAUGUGUAGAGCAUUGAAAUAUAAUUUAAAUAAUUAAAUUUAUCUUUUUUUAUCAAUUUAAAUCAUGAUUCAGCAGCAUUACUAAUAGAAGAUGUUAAUUAGUCUCCAUACACAUUUAGAGUCGAAUUUAGCAACAAAUCAUGAACAAAUUAAAGAGUAUUAAUUACCUUCAUGUGCAUUGGUGGAGAUCGGAAGGCAAAGAGAAGGCAGUUAUUGCUCUGAGCAAACUAAGGAGCCGUCCUCCUGGUGACAAGCUGUCUGAAAGGCAAAUAGAAGACACAUUUGUCUCAUUGAAAUCUGCAUAUUCGGAUCAGGAGUCUGAGGGCAGUUUGUUGGAGGUCUUUCAAGGCCCAAGUUUGAAAGUCUUCCUAAUUGGUGGGGGUCUGGUCCUUUUUCAACAGAUAACUGGGCAACCAAGCGUUCUAUAUUAUGCAGGUCCAAUACUUCAGACUGCUGGGUUUUCUGCGGCCUCUGAUGCUACCCGAGUUUCUGUUGUAAUUGGCGUGUUCAAAUUUCUGAUGACAUCGAUAGCUAUCCUAAAAGUAGAUGAUCUUGGGAGAAGACCCCUGCUAAUCGGAGGAGUCAGCGGGCUUGCUCUUUCUUUAUUUCUGCUUUCUGCUUAUUAUAAAUUUCUCGGAGGGUUCCCUAUUGUUGCUGUAGCUAGUCUACUUCUCUAUGUCGGUUGCUACCAGAUUUCAUUUGGCCCGAUCAGUUGGCUUAUGGUGUCAGAGAUAUUCCCACUUCGGACAAGAGGGCGAGGGAUUAGUCUUGCAGUUCUUACUAACUUUGGCUCAAAUGCCAUUGUAACCUUUGCAUUCGCACCAUUGAAGGAUUUUUUAGGAGCGGAAAAUAUCUUCCUUCUUUUCGGGGCUAUUGCUUUGUUGUCACUUUUGUUUGUACUGCUCAUUGUCCCGGAGACCAAAGGGCUGAGCUUGGAAGAGAUUGAGUCCAAGAUUUUGAAGUGAAAGCGCAAAUUGAAAAAAUGUACCAGUCGAGCUUCCAAUACACCCAAGUCGUUUUGUAGGCCCACAGCAGGAACUAACGAAGGAAAGGGAAGAAGUUUUCGUGUGUUUUUUACUUGAACGCAUGAAGAAAUCAGCCUGCUUGUGCAGACAGCGGUCUUCUCCUACCACUGAAAUUUCCCUUGUAUGCUUAAUGAAUGAACAGUCAAGCUGCUCGUGCUUUCAUAAUAUGAUGUAAAAUAACAUCACGUCAAUUUCUAAAAUAAUUCUUUUUUGUAGACUAAGAAUUGUACACGUGUACGGCUAGCAUCGUUGGUUCGAGUAUAAACACAAAUAAUAAAUUCUACAGCUUUUCAUAAGUUUAAGCUUUUUAGAUAAA